rnacentral:rRNA from 1 species
AAGGUCUGAACCAGCCAUCCCGCGUGCCGGAAGAAGGCCCUCACGGGUUGUAAACGGCUUUCUAUUGAGAAGAACCGACAGGAUGCGUCCUGGUUUUGACGGCUAGCCGUUGAAUAAGCACCGGCUAACUCCGCGUGCCAGCAGCCGCGGCUAAUACGGACGGUGCGAGCGUUGUCCGGAUUUAUUGGGUUUAAAGGGUGCGUAGGCUGGAAGGUCAGUCAGCGGUGAAAAGCUAUCGCUUAACGAUAGUCUUGCCGCAGAUACUUCCUUUCUUGGAUGAGGAGGAGGCCACUGGAACGGAUGGUGUAGCGGUGAAAUGCAUAGAUAUCAUCCAGAACACCGAUUGCGAAGGCAGGUGGCUGUACCUUAAUCGACGCUGAUGCACGAAAGCAUGGGGAGCAAACAGGAUUAGAUACCCUGGUAGUCCAUGCCGUAAACGAUGAGGACUAGCUGUUGGGCUCUUAGAGUUCAGUGGCACAGGGAAACCGUUAAGUCCUCCACCUGGGGAGUACGCCGGCAACGGUGAAACUCAAAUGAAUUGACGG